UUAAGACAGCAACAUUGGAGCUGUACUCUCUCCUUAGGAAAUGUAAACAGCUCACUGAUCGCUGGAAAAUUUUAGGGUCUUUAUCUUGCAAGAAGCCACUGUUGCAGCUGCAAAUGUGAUAUCACCAAAAUGGAAUGCAGUAGAGGACAUAAGCAGCCCAGGUUCUCAGGUGAAGCACAGAGUAUGUCAGAGAAGCCCAGUGGAGUUAAGUGUGAAAAGUCAGUCGGAACAUAUGCUGUAAUGGAUUUGACCUCUGAGAGAACCGCAGAGGGAACGUGCAGAUAACCAUCUGAACUGACUUCUGAAGCUUGUCAUCCUGACUCCUGAGAUGCAGCGGGAAAAGGGAGACCAGACACAUCAGAGAGAACAGAUCUGAUAAAAUAUUCUGACUCAAGCAAAGAAGGACAGAAAGGAUCUAUUUGCCUCACAAUUCCAGUCCUGGAUUCCAUGCUCAGAGAAUGGGCCUGCCCACAAUUAAUAUCUUCCCCCAUCAAUUAAUGGAUGAAGAGGAUUCCUUAUAGACAUUUUCAGAGGCGAACUCUAAAUUCUCUCAAAUGUGUGUCAGAGGCCUGCAUCCUUGGUGUUCAGUUGGCAGUUCAUAUUCCUCAACUCAGUUCACUCAGACCUUACAUCGUGGGCCACAUGGCAGGUUUCAGCAACAUACAGAAGGAUACUUUUCAGUAUUCUUUGACUAAUACUGUUGUGUUUGGAUUUAAAGGAGUGCCUUUCAGAUAUUAGUACUAUGCUUGAGUUUCUUUAUCUUUUAGUUUUUAGGCACUGGAUUGUGUCGGUUCAGAUGAAGAAAUUAACUGUGUCAUAAAUCAUUUCCAAGUCAUAUUACCCAUCUUGAGUUUAGAGUAAUGCAAUUUGUAUUUAAAAGAACCAAAGGGUUUUUGUUGUGUUUCUUUUUGUAAAGUUAUGAAAUUAUGGUGUUCUUUAACUUGAGAGAUCAGACACAAAGCCAGAAAUUCUGACUCUACUUUCAAACUUGUAAUAGUGACUAUGCAUGUGGUGUACAAACUACACCUUCCCUGGCCCUUCAUUGGGCUUUGCCUAAGAUAUAUUACAUAGCAGAACAUGUGUAUGUGACAUGACUCAUCUACAAAAGGUACUGAGAAGCAAAAUGAAAAUUGUGAUUUAUUUUCACUGUAGCUUUUCUGUCCUGACUAAAUCUAUUAAUUUUUUUAAAAAAAUGUUGCAGAAAUAUUUUUCAAGUAUUAUUAUAUUUGUUUAUUAAUUUAACCAUAUCUGUUGAAGACCAACUAUGAAUAAGUCACUGUCCAUGGUGCUAUGGAAUGCAGACUCAGUCUGAUAAGACGAUGCAAGAUUUAUUACCAUGGGAAUGAAGUUUACAGUGGACCAUGGAGAUAAUGGGUCUUUUGGUUGCAAGCUGUCAUCUUCACUAAAACUUUGACAUAUCUCAGAGAAAUAUCCUGUCUUUAUUUUGUCUGUCACCAUCAUGUUGGGAAAUGUUAUAUUAGAUGCUGUAUUUUUUUUUCAGGCUUGCUCACAUUGAAAGUUAUGAAUUCAGGGAGGACCAAUGACAACCACCUUUGAAGGUUCCUCAUUCAUGUAGAUUCAAACGGGAGAUGAACUAUUUUUGUUUUGUUCAUUUUAAGGAGAAGAAAUUGUAUGUCAUACCUGUGGGAGACCCAAAAAUCAACAAUGACAAAAGCAUUCAGGCAGGGAUAAGAGCUUUGUUCUUCAGUUUUUAAAUAUGUACUUAGAAUGUACAGAAGUGUUGUGGUAAAUCUCCAACCCAAAUAUGCCCUGGCAAUGAAAGUACAACUCAAUUAAUAUGAAUACAUGAUGUUUGCCUAGACUGGGCAGAUCUACCACUACACUACCAUCUUCCCAAUCUAUGAGACAUGUUUCUGAUCCACUUUCCUUCCACCUACUCCUGUCAUUGGCUCUCUCUCUCACUUCUUCUUCUCUCACCCCACUUUCAGCUCCACCUUCCCUUUAUCUGCCCAAUCACUGGCUCUAGCCUUUAUUUUAGAAAUUAAGGUGGGAAGCAGGUUUACAGGAACUCACCUGAGUGCUGACUCAUUCCUUGUUCCCAACCCAUCCCAGGAGAAUGGAAUUAGCAUCAAAUUACAAAUAGCCCCAUAACUAUCCACAACACAAAAUUAUUUACAUGAGUUUUUAACAUUUCUCUCUGUGAAUACACUAAUCGACUUGUGGAGUUAGAAGUUUAUUAUAUAAUAUUUAAGAUGCACAAAAUGUGAUAUUUUAUACUUUAAUGUUCAUAAUAACAGAACAGCUAUGGGUACAUCCUUGUGACUGGAAAACAGAGCACUCCAUUCUAAAUGAUUUGAUUUGCUAUUUGUGUCCUUGUCCUGGCUAGUUUUAUGACAACUUGGCAUAAGCUACAGUCAUCUGAAAGGAGGGAAUCUCAAUUGGGAAAAUGUUUCCAUAGAUUAUGCUGUAAGGUAUUUUCUUAACUAGUGAUUGAUGUGGGAGAGUCCAGAACAUUGUAGGUAGUGCCAUUUCUGGGCUGGUAGUCUUGGGUUCUAUAGGAAAGCAAGUUACACAAGCCAUGAUGAGCAAGCUAGUAUGCAGCACUGCUCCGUGGCCUCUGCAUCAGCUCCUGCCUUUGGGUUUCUGUGCUGUUUGAGUCCUUGUGGAUGUAUAAGCCAAAUAAACCCCUUCCUCCCAACUUGCUUUGGUCAUAUUGUUUUAUCAGAGCAAUAGUAAGCCUAGCUUGGAGAAUUUCCAUGUUUCUAAAUGCUUUAGAUAAAUAUCUCUACUAUUGCCACUCCCAUUUGAAAAUGCUGUUGUUGGCACCACUGAGUAUAUAUAUCUUUGAUUUCUUUUAUACAUUUUCUUACCCAGUAGCAAAUAUUACUGUGAAGUGUGUGAAUAUAAAUUUUUUUAUUUAAAAAUGGUUUCAACUGAUAUCUGUAUUCAUUUGCUAAACAGAAUAUCUUCUGUUCUUGUUUUAAAUUUUUCAUUUAAACACUGGAUCCUAACUUGGUGUGGUAACACAUACUUGUAAUCUCAACACACAAGAAGCCAAGGCAGGAGGUGUGUGAAUUCAAGACUGAUCUGGGCUACAUGGUGAGUCCCUCUCUAAGAAGGAAAAGCUUAAUGAACAAACAAAACACAACACAACAAAUGCACAGAUUUCUAUAUAUCUGUGCGCAGCUUUCCAUCCUCACCAGGGUGCUAGGAUUCAUGGAGAAUGGUCUUUAUUAGUGUAGUAGUGUUCAACAGUAUCAUUUCUGUCACCAAUCACACUCCUUUACAUCAUGCAGUCUGCAUCCGAACUUUCCAUUUGAUUUUCCUGGGUCAAAUUUUGUUUUGUAAUCGCCUCCUCUAGCAUGCUGUUGAUGGAAUCAUUCUCUAUAAGUGUUGGCAUCGACUGGAACAAGAAUCUCAUUUUGUACUUACUUCUUGAUGAGUGUCUUGGCAGUUCUUGAGCUGUUGCUAUUCUGUUAAAAAUUUUAAAAUCAGUUUUUAAAAAUCACUUGAAACAGGGUUGGAAAUUAAUUCAAAUUAUGCUCAGUUCCAAAAUAAUUUUGGAGAAAAUGGAUGCUUAUAAAAUGUUGCAUUUAAUAAGAAAAAAAAAUACCAUGCAGGAAAUAUUAGAAGACUUGUUGCAAGGAAUAGGCUUACAGGAAAGGGAAAGGCAGGUGGAACUCUGCUAGAUCUAUACUUGGGAUUUCUUCCUCAGAGGUCUCUUCUCUGUUAGGCAUUUGACUGGUUUAUUGAGGCCUAGUCAGAAUAUAGAGAAUAGCUUCCUUCAUUUAAGGUCUAUGUACUAUAUAUCUCAUAAAAUACUUUCACGCAAAUACUUAAUUUAGGAUCAGGAUACAGCAUAGUAUUUGAAACUGGCCAAUCUGAUACACAAAACUCACCUCACUUUCACACAGCUCACACACAUGGUAGUUUUCUCUCUUUAUAUGUAUUUUUAUGUUCACAAGUUGACUUUUGUCACCCUGCACUAGUUUUGAUACAGGCUACACAUUCAUGGGGAGAAGGAACCUGGGAUGAGGGAAUCCCUUCAUCAGAUUGACCUGCGGGUAUGUCUGUGAGGUAUUUUCUCAAUUGCUGGUAGAUGUACAAGACCCAGUUCCAUCCCUGGAGAGGUGGUGUCGGAUUGUCAAAGCAAACAUAGAGCUACAAAUGGGAUGUCUUUAUCAAACCCCUCCCCUAAAAGCUCAGGCCUGUUCCCAGGUGCAGGUCCUCCACACAAAAGAACUCAAUGUUCUAUGCUUUUGCUUUGUUUUGGUAUUUUUUUCUCUUAUAUAUUUUUUUUUUUGAGUGUGAUCUUUGAAAACACACACAGGAACAAAGUCAAAAUAUAGUACUUUGCUUCUGUGGGAGA